rnacentral:rRNA from 1 species
AGUUACCUGGUUGAUUCUGCCAGUAGUCAUAUGCUUGUCUCAAAGAUUAAGCCAUGCAUGUCUAAGUAUAAGCAAUUAUACCGCGAAACUGCGAAUGGCUCAUUAUAUAAGUUAUCGUUUAUUUGAUAGCACAUUACUACAUGGAUAACUGUGGUAAUUCUAGAGCUAAUACAUGCUAAAAAUCCCGACUUCGGAAGGGAUGUAUUUAUUAGAUUAAAAGCCAACGCCCUUCGGGGCUUCCUGGUGAUUCAUAAUAACUUUUCGAAUCGCAUGGCCUUGCGCCGGCGAUGGUUCAUUCAAAUUUCUUCCCUAUCAACUUUCGAUGCGAAGGUAUUGUCUUCGCAUGGUUGCAACGGGUAACGGAGGGUUAGGGCUCGACCCCGGAGA